rnacentral:rRNA from 1 species
UACAGAGGGUGCGAGCGUUAAUCGGAAUUACUGGGCGUAAAGCGCGCGUAGACGGUUAUGUAAGUCGGGUGUGAAAGCCCCGGGCUCAACCUGGGAAUUGCAUUCGAGACUGCAUAGCUAGAGUGCGGAAGAGGGAAGCGGAAUUUCCGGUGUAGCGGUGAAAUGCGUAGAUAUCGGAAGGAACACCAGUGGCGAAAGCGGCUUCCUGGUCCAGCACCGACGUUCAGGCACGAAAGCGUGGGGAGCAAACAGG